CUCUUAGGCAAAUCCGGGAUCACUUACGCCGAGCACCGAGACGAGUCCUAUGAGGACGAAGUGACUGACACCACGCUUCCAGGAAAAGCCACUAAGCUUCAGCUUAAGAAAAACCGUACCGCAAACCGACACAGGUAGGCAGGGUGAGAAUCCCAAGGCGCUUGAGAGAACUCGGGUGAAGGAACUAGGCAAAAUGGCACCGUAACUUCGGGAGAAGGUGCGCCCUUUGGUGUGGUCACGUGCGUGACUGAGCAUCGAAGGGUCGCAGUAACCUGGCCGCUGCGACUGUUUAUCAAAAACACAGCACUCUGCAAACACGAAAGUGGACGUAUAGGGUGUGACGCCUGCCCGGUGCUGGAAGGUUAAUUGAUGGGGUCAGCCGCAAGGCGAAGCUCUUGAUCGAAGCCCCAGUAAACGGCGGCCGUAACAAUAACGGUCCUAAGGUAGCGAAAUUCCUUGUCGGGUAAGUUCCGACCUGCACGAAUGGCGUAACGACAGCGGCGCUGUCUCCACCCGAGACUCAGUGAAAUUGAAAUCGCUGUGAAGAUGCAGCGUUCCCGCGGCAAGACGGAAAGACCCCGUGAACCUUUACUAUAGCUUUACACUGAACGUUGAGUUCUUCUGUGUAGGAUAGGUGGGAGGCUAUGAAACCAGGACGCUAGUUCUGGUGGAGCCAUCCUUGAAAUACCACCCUGAAGUGCUUGACGUUCUAACCUAGGCCCGUAAUCCGGGUCAGGGACCGUGUAUGGUGGGUAGUUUGACUGGGGCGGUCUCCUCCCAAAGAGUAACGGAGGAGCACGAAGGUACGCUCAGCGCGGUCGGACAUCGCGCACUGUGUGCAAGGGCAUAAGCGUGCUUGACUGCGAGAUCGACGGAUCAAGCAGGUACGAAAGUAGGUCUUAGUGAUCCGGUGGUUCUGUAUGGAAGGGCCAUCGCUCAACGGAUAAAAGGUACUCCGGGGAUAACAGGCUGAUACCGCCCAAGAGUUCAUAUCGACGGCGGUGUUUGGCACCUCGAUGUCGGCUCAUCACAUCCUGGGGCUGUAGCCGGUCCCAAGGGUAUGGCUGUUCGCCAUUUAAAGUGGUACGCGAGCUGGGUUCAGAACGUCGUGAGACAGUUCGGUCCCUAUCUGUCGUGGGCGUUGGAGAUUUGAGGGGGGCUGCUCCUAGUACGAGAGGACCGGAGUGGACGUUCCGCUGGUGUUCGGGUUGUCAUGCCCAUGGCAUUGCCCGGCAGCUACGAACGGAAGUGAUAACCGCUGAAAGCAUCUAAGCGGGAAGCACGCCCCAAGAUGAGAUCUCCCGAGAGCUUGACUCUCCUAAAGGCACCAUCAAGACUAGGUGGUUGAUAGGUCAGGUGUGGAAGCGCAGCAAUGCGUUGAGCUAACUGAUACUAAUGAGCCGUGAGGCUUGAUC
rnacentral:rRNA from 1 species